rnacentral:rRNA from 1 species
CCUACGGGUGGCUGCAGUGAGGAAUAUUGGUCAAUGGACGAGAGUCUGAACCAGCCAAGUAGCGUGAAGGAUGACUGCUCUAUGGGUUGUAAACCUCUUUUAUAUGGGAAUAAAAUGCUCUACGUGUGGGAUUUUGUAUGUACCAUAUGAAUAAGGAUCGGCUAACUCCGUGCCAGCAGCCGCGGUAAUACGGAGGAUCUGAGCGUUAUCCGGAUUUAUUGGGUUUAAAGGGAGCGUAGGUGGAUUGUUAAGUCAGUUGUGAAAGUUUGCGGCUUAACCGUAAAAUUGCAGUUGAAACUGGCAGUCUUGAGUACAGUAGAGGUAGGCGGAAUUCGUGGUGUAGCGGUGAAAUGCUUAGAGAUCACGAAGAACUCCGAUUGCGAAGGCAGUUCACUGGACUGCAACUGACGCUGAGGCUCGAAAGUGUGGGUAUCAAACAGGAUUAGAUACCCCAGUAGUC